UAGCUCAACUGGUAGAGCAUGGCGUUAUCACUGCUAGGGGUUAGGGGUUCGAUUCCCUGU
rnacentral:tRNA from 1 species